AGAACGAACGCUGGCGGCAGGCCUAAAACAUGCAAGUCGAGCGCCCAGCAAUGGGAGCGGCGGACGGGUGAGUAACACGUGGGAAUGUACCUUUCGGUACGGAACAACGCAGGGAAACUUGCGCUAAUACCGUAUGCGCCCUUACGGGGAAAGAUUUAUCGCCGAAAGAUCAGCCCGCGUUGGAUUAGCUAGUUGGUGAGGUAACGGCUCACCAAGGCGACGAUCCAUAGCUGGUUUGAGAGAACGACCAGCCACACUGGGACUGAGACACGGCCCAGACUCCUACGGGAGGCAGCAGUUGGGAAUCUUGGACAAUGGGGAAACCUGAUCCAGCCAUGCCGCGUGAGUGAUGAAGGCCUUCGGGUUGUAAAACUCUUUCGACGGGGACGAUAAUGACGGUACCCGUAGAAGAAGCUCCGGCUAACUUCGUGCCAGCAGCCGC
rnacentral:rRNA from 1 species